rnacentral:rRNA from 1 species
UACAGAGGUCCCGAGCGUUGUUCGGAUUCACUGGGCGUAAAGGGUGCGUAGGUGGUGAGGUAAGUCGGAUGUGAAAUCUCCGGGCUCAACCCGGAAAUGGCAUUGGAAACUACCUUGCUGGAGGAUUUGGGGGGGGAUUGGAAUACUUGGUGUAGCAGUGAAAUGCGUAGAGAUCAAGAGGAACACUCGUGGCGAAAGCGAGCUACUGGACAAUUCCUGACGCUGAGGCUCGAAGGCUAGGGUAGCGAAAGGG